GACGAACGCUGGCGGCGUGCUUAACACAUGCAAGUCGAACGGAAAGGCCCUGCUUUUGUGGGGUGCUCGAGUGGCGAACGGGUGAGUAACACGUGAGUAACCUGCCCUUGACUUUGGGAUAACUUCAGGAAACUGGGGCUAAUACCGGAUAGGAGCUCCUGCUGCAUGGUGGGGGUUGGAAAGUUUCGGCGGUUGGGGAUGGACUCGCGGCUUAUCAGCUUGUUGGUGGGGUAGUGGCUUACCAAGGCUUUGACGGGUAGCCGGCCUGAGAGGGUGACCGGCCACAUGGGGACUGAGAUACGGCGCAGACUCCUACGGGAGGCAGCAGUGGGGAAUAUUGCACAAUGGGCGGAAGCGUGAUGCAGCAACGCCGCGUGCGGGAUGACGGCCUUCGGGUUGUAAACCGCUGUCGCCUGUGACGAAGCGUGAGUGACGGUAAUGGGUAAAGAAGCACCGGCUAACUACGUG
rnacentral:rRNA from 1 species